CUUCAACAGCUAAGAGGAAUUGCUUUAAAUGAAAUGAAUUAUUUUGAUUUUAGGAACUCUGUUGGACGCUAAAACAAUAGACUCAGUAGCUCAAUAGCAAAAAUAAUUAAAAUGAGUGUCAUCUACAGAGACCUUUUAUUCAGAGAUGAAGGUUAUUUUCCUCUCUCUGCAUUCAGCUGCGCCAGUGGGGCGGAGGAGCCCACGGCGGUCGCCAGGCUGUGCAUGGGGGAAACAGCCACCACGAGAUCCUGCAGCUGCUGUGGCAGAGCCUGCUGCCCAUCACUUGGAAAUAUUGCAGCGCUACCCAAGUAGAUGGGCAUUCCUAUCCAGAACCAAGGCAGAUACUGUGGCCUUUGCAAAAUCUGCCUUCUCAAAUCAGUUGUAUUUCCAAGAAGAAUUGUAUUUUCAACUCAGAUAUCUGUCCCAUCUGCACGUACCUGACUAUGUUCAAUUAGCAACUUUGACUUUGGCUGUCAGUCUUGAGUUUUUAUUCUUUAGAGCCAGAAAGGAAUCAAACUAUGAAACUUCAGAACUGCGCAUCACAAGGACUCCUCUAAACCAAUUGCUGCAGUUUUGAGAUGGGUACUUAACAACCCUCUCAGAAUAUCUGUCUUUCUGGUUACUACCGGACAUAUUUCCAGCUCCAUUUUUUGCUAUUUUUCAAGACAACUGCC
rnacentral:lncRNA from 1 species